GUAGCUCCUCCAUAAUGCUGGUGGGCCUCAUCCAGUCAGUUGAAGGCCUGCAAAAACAAAAAGACUAACCCUCUCCCAGUGAGAGUGAAUUCUUCCUGCCUUUGGACUUGGAGUGGAACCAUUGCAUUGGCUCUCCUGGGUCUCUGGCUUGCUGACUCACGCUACCGAUCUUAGGACUUGCCAACCUCCAUACACACUAGUUAACUUCCCUGAGACAAGGACCUAAUUAAUGCCAGUGUGUGGAUUACAGUUAUGGCCUGGAAAGCAGGACAACGUUCUACUAUCUCAAACCUAAAGGUCAUCUUCCGCAGAGCUACCUUUAUUCCACCACUAACUUCCCGCCGCUUCUGAGAAAACACAUGAAAAAAAAACUCAAGUCCUCCAACAAGGUCAGAAGCUUCACACGCACGUGGCCUUAGAAGCUGCCGGUGGGGACCGAGCCUGUGAAACCCGAGGACGCAAGGCAACGACAGGAUGCGGGUCACGGGGUCGCCGACCCCUCUGCGGGGUCACAACCUCCGUUCACCUUAGGCCGACCCAGCUUCUUUCCAGAACUCUCCCCCACCCCAGAAGAACUUGGGGGGGGGGGAGGGAGAGUGUCGGUUUUUCGAGGGGUCUGACGCUGCUUUAAAAAAAACAAAACAAAAAAACGGAGGUCUUAAUCUGUUUCCUAGGAGGUCACCUUGGAACAACCCCCGGGAGGGCUGGGGGCGGGGGCCGGCCUGGGCUCCCCAUCCUUCAGGGCCCCGCACCUGGGCUGAGCCUACAGCCA